GGUGAUAAGAUAUCAAUGAGUAACAAGCUUCUGAAUUAAUGUUUUUUGUGUACCGUCUUCUGCAAUAUAUUUUUAAUAAUCAGAUAGUUUUAUAUGACUUUAUCAUUCUAAACUGUUGUUAAUAUAAUAAAUUACUAUUAUUAUGGAUUUAUAUGUACGACCUCCUGAAUCCUUAUCUACUAGUGGAGAUAUGAUUCAGAAUUGGCAAAAGUGGAAAAAAGAUUUUAUGAUAUUUAUGGAAGCAAGCAAUUGUAUAAACAAACCAAAGAAUCAUCAAGCUUAUCUCUUGAGAACUUACAUAGGAAAAAUGGGUCAAGAUAUCAUAGAAAAACUUGUUUCAAAUAAUUUAAAGGAAAGAGAUGACAUGAAUAUAUUAUUAGCAAAACUUGAUAAACACUUUUGUCACCAUAAAAAUGAAGUUAUAGAGCGAUAUAAUUUUUUUAACUCAAACAAAAAACCAGAUGAAUCGAUUGAAGAUUAUAUUGUUAAUUUAAAAAACAAAGCAAAAGAUUGUAAUUUUGGAAAGAUGACAGACAGUUUAAUUAGAGACAAAAUAAUUCUUGAAUUUAAAAAUAAACAACUGAGACAAAAGUUGUUUAAUGUAGAAAAUCUUAAUUUAUCAAGACUAGUGUCAAUUUUUAAUGAACAUGCAUCUACAAUGCGAAAGGAUCAACAGAAUGUACCAAAAAAGACAAAUAACAUUGAUAAUGUAUCUGACGAUGAUAUUAAAAAUCGAAAUGGAGAAGCUAGUAGUUCGAACAGGAAUGAAAAAUCAGUAAAUAUACAAAAUAGAAAGAAUUGUAGUAAAUGUAAUCAAAGACAUCCUAUGAGAGCCUGUCCUGCUUGGGGUCUUAAAUGUGAAAAAUGUGGCAAAUAUAAUCACUACACCAAUUGUUGUCCAUAUAAGUUUAUUGAAAAAAAGGAAAUAAAUGAAAAAACAAAUAGCCUUAAUGUAAAUCCACAAAGAGAUAAUCAACAGUGUCCUACAGCUCCACCAAUUUCUGAUAUUGAUCACGUAUAUCCAAAUCUAAAUUAUGUGAGAUCUCAAGAAGCAAUGAAUACGAUCAACUGGUCAUAUAUGGAAAAUAGAUCAAAUGAAAAUUUCCAAAGAAGUGCGGCACCACAGCAUCCAAACAUGGAUCAAAGAACUUCUAAUAUGGAAAAUAAACCUCAUAAAACGUCUAAUAGCGAUUGCCGAUUAUCGUAAGAAAAUUUAAUAUGUUUAAUAUAUUUAGUACAGUGUUUAGUACAAUGUUUGUAAUAUUAAAAUUAUAUUCAGAUAACUGUAAAAAUUAAGAAA